CCUACGGGUGGCAGCAGUGGGGAAUAUUGCACAAUGGAGGAAACCCUGAUGCAGCGAAGCCGCGUGAGUGAAGAAGUAAUUCGUUACGUAAAGCUCUAUCAGCAGGGAAGAAAAUGACGGUACAUGAGUAAGAAGGCCCGGCUAACUACGUGCCAGCAGCCGCGGUAAUACUUAGGGGGAAAGCUUUCACCGGUUUUACUGGGUGGAAAGGGAGCGUAGACGGUGCGCCAAGUCUGGGGUGAAAGGCCGCGGCUUAACUGCGGAACUGCUUUGGAAACUGGCGAACUAGAGUGCUGGAGAGGGAAGCGGAAUUCCUAGUGUAGCGGUGAAAUGCGUAGAUAUUAGGAGGAACACCGGUGGCGAAGGCGGCUUACUGGACCGUAACUGACGUUGAGGCUCGAAAGCGUGGGGAGCAAACAGGAUUAGAUACCCCAGUAGUC
rnacentral:rRNA from 1 species